AUACAAGAUGGCAUCAUGAGUUCACAUGUUCACAUGAUUAAAGGUAUUCCGGUAGACGAUGGGGAUGCGUUCCAUUAGAUAGUAGGCGGGGUAACGGCCCACCUAGUCUUCGAUGGAUAGGGGUUCUGAGAGGAAGGUCCCCCACAUUGGAACUGAGACACGGUCCAAACUCCUACGGGAGGCAGCAGUGAGGAAUAUUGGUCAAUGGGCGCAGGCCUGAACCAGCCAAGUAGCGUGAAGGAUGACCGCCCUAUGGGUUGUAAACUUCUUUUAUAAAGGAAUAAAGUCGGGUAUGUAUACCCGUUUGCAUGUACUUUAUGAAUAAGGAUCGGCUAACUCCGUGCCAGCAGCCGCGGUAAUACGGAGGAUCCGAGCGUUAUCCGGAUUUAUUGGGUUUAAAGGGAGCGUAGAUGGAUGUUUAAGUCAGUUGUGAAAGUUUGCGGCUCAACCGUAAAAUUGCAGUUGAUACUGGAUAUCUUGGGUGCAGUUGAGGCAGGCGGAAUUCGUGGUGUAGCGGUGAAAUGCUUAGAUAUCACGAAGAACUCCGAUUGCGAAGGCAGCCUGCUAAGCUGCAACUGACAUUGAGGCUUGAAAGUGUGGGUAUCAAACAGGAUUAGAUACCCU
rnacentral:rRNA from 1 species